rnacentral:lncRNA from 1 species
GCUGUGGAUAUCUGUAUACCCCAGUCUGAGGAGUACUGAUUUAAUUUAUGAUUUUCUAAAAGCAUCUGCCUGAAUCAAUAAUGAAGUCGUGCUGUAGAAGCUAUGCCUUAAGACUCUGGAUUUUGGAGGAGAGAAUGGGGCUUGGGAGAGAAAUACUAGCAAGAAUCACCAAAUAUUCCAGAGACAGAAGAUAAGAAUGCUGCUAGUGUCCCCAAGUACAAAAGAAAUCUAAGAUCAAUUUCAGAAAUCGAGAUGUUAAUGGAAAUUAAACAAAACAAAAAUAAAUCAAGAUGAUUAUAAACUAAAGAAAAAUUUAAAACUUGCCCAAAGUUUGGAAACCUGAAAUGUGAGACUUUAACCCUAAUAUCAAGUUGGACAUUUUGGAAAAGAAGCUUCUCAAGACAUUUCUCAAGCAAAAAAUUACUUUUAAUGUUGAUCCUUUAAUUAACAAAAGCAGCUAAGAUUCAAUCAGAAGGGAAUUUGGAUCCAUUGACUACUUCCAGUCUGACACGUAAGCACUCAUCCCAAAGAAUCUUCAGCUCCAGGAUCUGGUGGAUACUUGGUUUACAAGUUUAUGUAAUUACUUUUCCAUUUCUUAAAAAUUAAAAAUAAAAAGAUGUGAAGUUUCUAAUUCAACUUGUUGAUAAUAGAGCAUACUAUACAGAACCUAAUUAAAGUGAACUCUGAUUUUUACACAAAUCUUGGUUUACAUCCCAAUAACUUAAAAAGAAAUGGCUUUAUUAUAUUUAUUUUGUAAUUUCUUCCUGGCAAAAUUAGUUUACAAAUUACAUGAAAAUGUAACUGUAACACUUUGUUUUUCCCCAAACCUCAGCAUAUAUUUAUUUAUUAAUGUGUCUAUUUUUAUUGGUUUUACAGUUUAUUUUUCUCUCUGCAUUCAGUCUUUUUAAUCUUCAAUCCUACAUGCUCUUGUCAAAUUCAUUUUCGUUCCAUUCUCUUCCUACUCUACUUCUCAAAACCACACCAUGACUUUCCCUCCCCAAUGUCAUGAACAUUAAACUCUCCAAUACAUGUCAACACAUCUUACCCCAUUAUUUGACCCUACCACUAAUCCCAAUUAAUUCUGGUCAACUUUACUAACUCACUAUUUAUUUCAAUGAAAUUUCUGGCCAGUUUGUAGGUUAUUUCAUUAGUAACAUGUUAUUUAUAAUACCUCCAGUAUAUUAAGUUGAAUAAUUACAUGUUACGUCAAGUGUUUUCAUAGCCACUGUGGCCAAUGAGAAAACUAGGAGUAUUACUUAGGAACUCAUAACAUUGCUUAUUCAUUAUGUCUAAUGAGAAGCCCACUAACAACUAAAAUUAUAGCAUAUAUUUCUGUCCUUCAAUAGAAAUGAUAUUAUUGUAUUCUGAGGGUGUCUUUGUGAUAACUCUCAGCAAAGUAAUUUUAAUAACUUUUAAAUGUUGAUAAUUUUGAAAAACCACAAUGGCUAACUUCCU